rnacentral:rRNA from 1 species
UGAACGCUGGCGGCAGGCCUAACACAUGCAAGUCGAACGGUAGCACAGAGAGCUUGCUCUCGGGUGACGAGUGGCGGACGGGUGAGUAAUGUCUGGGAAACUGCCUGAUGGAGGGGGAUAACUACUGGAAACGGUAGCUAAUACCGCAUAACGUCGCAAGACCAAAGAGGGGGACCUUCGGGCCUCUUGCCAUCAGAUGUGCCCAGAUGGGAUUAGCUAGUAGGUGGGGUAACGGCUCACCUAGGCGACGAUCCCUAGCUGGUCUGAGAGGAUGACCAGCCACACUGGAACUGAGACACGGUCCAGACUCCUACGGGAGGCAGCAGUGGGGAAUAUUGCACAAUGGGCGCAAGCCUGAUGCAGCCAUGCCGCGUGUAUGAAGAAGGCCUUCGGGUUGUAAAGUACUUUCAGCGGGGAGGAAGGCGAUAAGGUUAAUAACCUUGUCGAUUGACGUUACCCGCAGAAGAAGCACCGGCUAACUCCGUGCCAGCAGCCGCGGUAAUACGGAGGGUGCAAGCGUUAAUCGGAAUUACUGGGCGUAAAGCGCACGCAGGCGGUCUGUCAAGUCGGAUGUGAAAUCCCCGGGCUCAACCUGGGAACUGCAUUCGAAACUGGCAGGCUGGAGUCUUGUAGAGGGGGGUAGAAUUCCAGGUGUAGCGGUGAAAUGCGUAGAGAUCUGGAGGAAUACCGGUGGCGAAGGCGGCCCCCUGGACAAAGACUGACGCUCAGGUGCGAAAGUGUGGGGAGCAAACAGGAUUAGAUACCCUGGUAGUCCACGCUGUAAACGAUGUCGACUUGGAGGUUGUUCCCUUGAGGAGUGGCUUCCGGAGCUAACGCGUUAAGUCGACCGCCUGGGGAGUACGGCCGCAAGGUUAAAACUCAAAUGAAUUGACGGGGGCCCGCACAAGCGGUGGAGCAUGUGGUUUAAUUCGAUGCAACGCGAAGAACCUUACCUACUCUUGACAUCCACGGAACUUAGCAGAGAUGCUUUGGUGCCUUCGGGAACCGUGAGACAGGUGCUGCAUGGCUGUCGUCAGCUCGUGUUGUGAAAUGUUGGGUUAAGUCCCGCAACGAGCGCAACCCUUAUCCUUUGUUGCCAGCGGUUAGGCCGGGAACUCAAAGGAGACUGCCAGUGAUAAACUGGAGGAAGGUGGGGAUGACGUCAAGUCAUCAUGGCCCUUACGAGUAGGGCUACACACGUGCUACAAUGGCAUAUACAAAGAGAAGCGACCUCGCGAGAGCAAGCGGACCUCAUAAAGUAUGUCGUAGUCCGGAUUGGAGUCUGCAACUCGACUCCAUGAAGUCGGAAUCGCUAGUAAUCGUGGAUCAGAAUGCCACGGUGAAUACGUUCCCGGGCCUUGUACACACCGCCCGUCACACCAUGGGAGUGGGUUGCAAAAGAAGUAGGUAGCUUAACCUUCGGGAGGGCGCUUACCACUUUGUGAUUCAUGACUGGGGUGA